rnacentral:rRNA from 1 species
AACCUUUGCAAUGUGCGCAAGCACGACAAGGUUAAUCCGAGUGUUUCCUGCUAAAGGAAUCUUUUGUUAGUUGUAAAACCACUAUCGAAUAAGGGGUGGGCAAGUUCUGGUGUCAGCCGCCGCGGUAAAACCAGCACCUCAAGUGGUCAGGAGGAUUAUUGGGCCUAAAGCAUCCGUAGCCUGUUCUAUAAGUUUCCGGUUAAAUCCAUUAGCUCAACUAAUGGGCUGCCGAAAAUACUGUAGAACUAGGGAGUGGGAGAGGUAGACGGUAUUCGGUAGGAAGGGGUAAAAUCCUUUGAUCUAUUGAGGACCACCUGUGGCGAAGGCGGUCUACCAGAACACGUUCGACGGUGAGGGAUGAAAGCUGGGGGAGCAAACCGG